rnacentral:tRNA from 1 species
UUUCGAAUAAUUCAAAGGUAGAAAUUUUAGCUUACAACUAUAAAGUUAUUGGUUCAAAUCCAGUUUCGAAAA